AGCUACAGGCUUAACACAUGCAAGUCGAGGGGAAACGAUAUUGGAAGCUUGCUUCCGAUAGGCGUCGACCGGCGCACGGGUGAGUAACGCGUAUCCAACCUGCCCACCACUUGGGGAUAACCUUGCGAAAGUAAGACUAAUACCCAAUGAUAUCUCUAGGAGACAUCUGAAAGAGAUUAAAGAUUUAUCGGUGAUGGAUGGGGAUGCGUCUGAUUAGCUUGUUGGCGGGGUAACGGCCCACCAAGGCAACGAUCAGUAGGGGUUCUGAGAGGAAGGUCCCCCACAUUGGAACUGAGACACGGUCCAAACUCCUACGGGAGGCAGCAGUGAGGAAUAUUGGUCAAUGGACGAGAGUCUGAACCAGCCAAGUAGCGUGCAGGAAGACGGCCCUAUGGGUUGUAAACUGCUUUUAUAAGGGAAUAAAGUGAGUCUCGUGAGACUUUUUGCAUGUACCUUAUGAAUAAGGACCGGCUAAUUCCGUGCCAGCAGCCGCGGUAAUACGGAAGGUCCCGGGCGUUAUCCGGAUUUAUUGGGUUUAAAGGGAGCGUAGGCCGGAGAUUAAGCGUGUUGUGAAAUGUAGACGCUCAACGUCUGCACUGCAGCGCGAACUGGUUUCCUUGAGUACGCACAAAGUGGGCGGAAUUCGUGGUGUAGCGGUGAAAUGCUUAGAUAUCACGAAGAACUCCGAUUGCGAAGGCAGCUCACUGGAGCGCAACUGACGCUGAAGCUCGAAAGUGCGGGUAUCGAACAGGAUUAGAUACCCUGGUAGUCCGCACGGUAAACGAUGGAUGCCCGCUGUUGGUCUGAAUAGGUCAGCGGCCAAGCGAAAGCAUUAAGCAUCCCACCUGGGGAGUACGCCGGCAACGGUGAAACUCAAAGGAAUUGACGGGGGCCCGCACAAGCGGAGGAACAUGUGGUUUAAUUCGAUGAUACGCGAGGAACCUUACCCGGGCUUGAAUUGCAGAGGAAGGAUUUGGAGACAAUGACGCCCUUCGGGGCCUCUGUGAAGGUGCUGCAUGGUUGUCGUCAGCUCGUGCCGUGAGGUGUCGGCUUAAGUGCCAUAACGAGCGCAACCCCUCUCCUUAGUUGCCAUCAGGUCAAGCUGGGCACUCUGGGGACACUGCCACCGUAAGGUGUGAGGAAGGUGGGGAUG
rnacentral:rRNA from 1 species